CCAUGUGGGCAGAGCUAUUCUGACAGGAAGAGGAGGGUAUGGAAGUACCAGGGGGAGGGGCUUCCCAGCCCAGGGCAGUUCUAGGAAGGCAGGCAAGAGUGGUACCUGACUGAGCCAGGCCCCUUUUGGAAUGCCUCCCGGCUAUAACCUUAACCAUGAGAAAAAUGCUGUUUCGGCGUUACACCGACCAGGAACCCAGCGUUCAGAGAGGUCAACUAACUUGGCCAAGGUCACACAGCAGGUCCCGGUAGCCGGGCUGCGGUGGCGCUCACCUACCGGCUGGCGGCCGAGGACUGGGGUGGGGGUGCCGCACCGCUAAGUUUGUCGCCUCCUCCGCGGGUCUCCACCGGGUCCACGGCUUGGUCCUGCAGCUGCAGCUGAGACUGCGGCGGGACUGCGCGGACGCAAGGAGAGGUUGGGCCCGCAGGACGCUCGGAAGAGGGCGCCGGGCCCGGCGCCGCACAAAACCCCCUUUCUUCACCCCCGCCCCCGCCCCGCCCUUCCCCGGGGCUGCCCCCGCCCCCUGUCCCGGAACGCGGGGGGCUCGGGAAGGUCACGAGACCCACUGCCUUCUCUGCGUCGGUUCCCGGCGGCAGUUGCGAGAGCAAGGACGAGCGAAGCAGCCAAGUCCCUCCUGGAUGGGAAUUCUGGACUGCCCUCUGCUGGCUACCCCAACCGCUCCACUCCCUCCGCCUGGGCUUCCACUCCCAGAGCAGCAGACUUGGCUCCAAAGGGCUUUGAGAAGCUCACAGAAAAACUCCUCCCCCAAUCCUUGAGCAUCUAAAGGUGGGAGUCUGGCUCCUCCCCAGGGACCCAUCUUGGUAGACCCAGGCCAAGAAGACUGGGGGUGCUGGCUGUGACCUGGGAAGACAGAGCAAGUGACCUUCCUCGCCACCUUCCCCCAUGACUAGAAGUGUGGCACACAUCUCGGUGCCCUGGGGGAGUCCGACCUUGAUCAAGGCCAGCAGCACCUGGAGCUGGACAAGGGCUGGCGGCAGACAGUCUGUUCCAAGAGGCAGACCCCUGGUGGGAAAGCAGACACGAUGAGAGAACAGACAGCGGCUGCUGUGAAGAUGGAACUGAGAGCCAGGACUCAGAGUCAUGGGCAUAGAGGCUGAGGAGCAGAGGCUGCUGCCCUGGGUGACGUCUCCUGCACUUGGGCUGGGUGAGGGAAGCACCUGGCCCAUGGCACGGACUCAGCAAAAUCUAGUUCUUUUUCUUUGACACACACACACACACUAUCCACCAGGUCUGCUGGCUGAAGGUCAGUGGACCACACCCCUGUGGAUGGGAUGGAGGGCUCGGUACUCGAGAGGAGCAUUUAUUUCCCAGUGGAGGGAUGAGUACUUCCCAGUCUGCCAGCUGUGAAAACUCACCCUGAGAUCUAACACACUGCACAGGCAGCGGCUGAUCAGUGACUUUCCUUACUGUCUUCUUCACUGGCAUCUUGACCCGUAGUCAUACGACAGCCCCCCACCCCCCAUUUCUAUUCACUUUCUGAGUAGAGGCGAGAAACAAGAACUUCUCUGUAGGUCUCGGAAAGGAACCCUCGGGAUGAGCUGAAAGCAGACAGGAUCAAUAGAAGCAGGGAAAAGGAACGUCAGAUUUCAAGUAGGACCGCCUGCCCCAGUAACAGGAGGAGAAUGUCUCAGGUAACCUUAGGUACCUGAGACAAAGAAACAGACCCAAAGAGGUGAAGUGACUGUCUGGGGUCACACAGUAGGUAAUGGACUGGCCAUGACCAAAACCAAGUCUCCUGCCUCCCAGGCCAGGGUCUUGCCAGGGCACCCAGCUGUCUCUCUCAGGGGACAGGAUGUGGGGAGGUGGAGAGAAGACAGAGAGGAGGGAGAGUGGUUUCGCUCCUCCCACCCCACGUGCAGCCCAGCUGGCUUGCCUCCCAGUCUCCUGGGCGCUGGGGAGUUUUCCAGUCUCUCUGGAGGACAAUCCAUCUGCCUCUUUCCCUCGGGCUGAGGUCAUGAACCAAGCUGAGGAAGCAGGAGCUCCCCUCCGAGUUCUCGCCUCCCGAGUGCCCGAGUGCCCCCACCUCCAGUGUUAGUCCUGGGACUUCCUCACCGGAUUCCCAACUACAGUGGCCACUGGGAGAGCCUGUCCUUCCAGCCCCUGAACACCUGCCCGCACUGUCCCAGACUUGGGGGUGGGGGCCGAGGCAGCUUGGUUCCUCUCUGAGGUCCUGCACGUCACAUAGGGUCCUAUGCCAUGGGGACGUGCAAGCGGGGCUGCAGGGACUGGAGGCGGCGCUGAACGCUGGCACAGCUGUGUUCAGAGAAUGGGGCUUUGAUAGCUUCUGAAAGGGGCCAGGAAGCAGGGCCCCCCAGCCCAGGCG